rnacentral:rRNA from 1 species
UACGUAGGUGGCAAGCGUUGUCCGGAUUUAUUGGGCGUAAAGGGAACGCAGGCGGUCUUUUAAGUUUGAUGUGAAAGCCUUCGGCUUAACCGGAGUAGUGCAUUGGAAACUGGGAGACUUGAGUGCAGAAGAGGAGAGUGGAACUCCAUGUGUAGCGGUGAAAUGCGUAGAUAUAUGGAAGAACACCAGUGGCGAAGGCGACUUUCUGGACCGUAACUGACGUUGAGGCACGAAAGUGUGGGGAGCAAACAGG